rnacentral:lncRNA from 1 species
GAAUACAGACUUUUUGAAUUACUUUUUAAAGUACUGAGAUCAACAAGAUAAUUAUUACCUCCAUGGACUUUAUAGCACUAAAGACACUGUCCAAUUUAAAUGUCGCGUGCAAACUUCUGCAUUUAAAAAUUUUUAUGUAUACAAGUUUCUUGUGCAGGCAACAAAAGAAAAUAUGAAUUUGUACAAAGGCACAUAUAUGGAAUAAUUUUUUUUAAAAAAAAAAUUGUUUCGACCUUAUUUAAUUCGGGAAAAAAAUGAGUGACUAUCUAAUUAAUUAUAUGAAAUGAAGACAUUAAUAGAAAAUUAUAACUUAGUUCAUACCAUUUGAUGGAAUGUACCAUAACUUAUCAGUAGGAAGGAUCCCAAGUGCCUUUUGAAUAUAUGCUGAGCUGUGAUUGCCUCAUUAGCCAUUAGUUAACAAAGACGUCUGCUUUAAUGCAGAACAACGAUCCCAGAUUAUGUUUAUCUAAUAAUCAUUUCAAAAGCAAUAUGUAUGUAUGUGUGUGUCUGUGUACAUAUACAUACAUAU